rnacentral:rRNA from 1 species
UUGAACGCUGGCGGCAUGCCUUGCACAUGCAAGUCGAACGGUAACAGGUCUUCGGAUGCUGACGAGUGGCGAACGGGUGAGUAAUACAUCGGAACGUGCCCGACCGUGGGGGAUAACGCAGCGAAAGCUGUGCUAAUACCGCAUACGAUCUACGGAUGAAAGCGGGGGAUUCGUAAGAACCUCGCGCAAUUAGAGCGGCCGAUGUCGGAUUAGCUAGUUGGUGGGGUAAAGGCUCACCAAGGCGACGAUCCGUAGCGGGUCUGAGAGGAUGAUCCGCCACACUGGGACUGAGACACGGCCCAGACUCCUACGGGAGGCAGCAGUGGGGAAUUUUGGACAAUGGGCGAAAGCCUGAUCCAGCCAUGCCGCGUGAGUGAAGAAGGCCUUCGGGUUGUAAAGCUCUUUCAGCCGGAAAGAAAUCGCGCAGGCUAAUACUCUGCGUGGAUGACGGUACCGGAAGAAGAAGCACCGGCUAACUACGU